rnacentral:tRNA from 1 species
UAUACGUAGGUGUGGUUUGCAUGAGAAGGUUUGGUUUUCUAGGAGGUAGAGGAAACACUAUCACGUAUAU